CUGGUCUGCCACUUUUCAUUUCUAAUAUAUUUAUUACCUAAAACCAAUUUACUACCCACAGUAAAUCCUCCUUGAAAUGCACAAAGGAGUACAUUUAGUCAUAGUUAUUCCGUGUGGACUGACGACAGUAGGAUUGUUCUUCUAAUGCUCAGAAGCCUUUUGUCUUGUCUGGACGCUUGUAUUUCCAAUCCCGUGAUUGGUCAGUUUCCCUGUUAAUGGUCGCGUGGGGCAACGAGGACUUCAUCUGGAGCAAACAAGAGAAAAAGUGAGAAGAAGCAGAGUUACGAUCACUCAAGGUCAUCCUCAUAUGUGAUCUUGAAGAAGAGCUGCAUAAAAUGGCAAAUAAUAUUGAUGAUGCUCAAGCAGAACUGGACUCAGUGGAGGCCGAGUUGGAGAUGGUGGAACUGCAGAUCUCCGAGCUGCUGGAGAAACAGACCAAGCUGAGCUCCAGGAAGAACAAACUUCUGCAGAUCCUGGAGGGAGCCUGCAGCUCGGCCCAGCCCUCUGGAUCCAGCAAACCUCCCAAACCGUCAUUCAGCAAACAGGACCUACAGCACUACGAGGAGUCAGAUUUUUCAUGGUCUAAAGAAGCUCAGGCCAAGCUGUGUAACGUGUUCCAGCUCUCCAAAUUUCGCCCCCUGCAACGGGCGGCCAUAAAUCUCAGCAUGUCAGGGAAAGACCUUUUCCUGGUAAUGCCCACUGGACGAGGAAAAAGCCUGUGUUACCAACUUCCAGCCCUCUGCUCUAAGGGGUUUACGUUAGUUAUUGCCCCGUUGGUGUCUCUAAUGGAGGAUCAGCUGAUGUAUCUGAAGUGCAUUAAUGUCCCGGCUGUAACUCUCAAUGCCUCCAGUACAAAGGAGGACUCCAAGCAGGUGCUGGCAGGGAUGACGGAUAAAAACAGCCCCUUCAAAUUGCUCUAUGUAACCCCAGAGAAAAUCGCCAAGAGCAAACUACUGAUGUCCAAACUUGAAAAGGCCUACAACAUGGGUCUGCUGGCACGCAUCGCCGUCGAUGAAGUUCACUGCUGCAGUCAGUGGGGGCACGACUUCAGGCCAGAUUACAAGCUCCUGGGUAUCCUAAAGCGCCAGUUCCCCAAAGUCCCGUUGGUCGGACUGACUGCCACAGCCACCAGCAACGUUCUUAAAGACUGCCAGAAGAUUCUGUGUGUUCAAGAACCGAUCACACUGACAGCACCGUUCAACAGACCAAACCUUUACUAUGAAGUUCGUUUUAAACAUAACGAAGACUGUACCCACCAAAUUGCAGAACUGAUUAAAGAAAGAUACAAAAACCAGUCAGGAAUCGUGUAUGUGUUCUCCCAGAAGGAUGCAGAAGUUGUCGCUACAGACCUGCAGAAGAGGAAUAUUGUUGCUCAGCCGUACCACGCCAACAUGGAGCCUUCAGACAAGUCUCUGGUGCAUCAGCGGUGGUCCUCCAAGAAGAUCCAGGUGGUCGUUGCCACUGUGGCUUUUGGGAUGGGCAUUGACAAGGCUGAUGUGCGAUUUGUUAUCCAUCACACCAUCAGCAAAUCUAUCGAAAAUUACUAUCAGGAGAGUGGACGUGCAGGAAGGGAUGAUGGCUCAGCGGAUUGUAUAGUAUUCUUCGGGUUUGCAGACAUCUUCAGAUUAAGCACAAUGGUUGUGAUGGAGAACACUGGGCAGCAGAAGCUACAGAAUAUGGUGGCAUAUUGUCAAAAUGUGGACCGGUGUCGUCGUGCUAUGAUGGCCAUUCACUUUGAUGAAGUUUGGAAUGAUGACGAGUGCAACCAAAUGUGCGACGUCUGUCGGCACGGCAAUGACUACAUCACAAUGGACAUCACCACACACGCUCGAGAUGUUGUCACCAUAGUAGAAAUGGCCAGCUCUAUGGAUGAAAAGUUGACCCCUCUGAAAGUCUGUGACGCUUGGAUGGGAAAAGGGCCAGCUAAGCAUCGCAAAACGAUAAAGGUCACGUCCCUGUCACGCGUGGAAGUUGAGUCUAUUAUCAUCCACCUUUUGUUGCAUGGCUACUUCAGUGAGGACUUUAGCUUCACUCCCUACACAACACACUUCUACUUGAAGUUGGGCCGUAAGGCAGCUCUCCUGAAAAAUGGCAAUCACUCCAUCACUAUGAAGAUGAGGAGAGUGAUGUCACAUGCUACUGUAAGAGUCAACAAAUCAUGUGCAAGUGGUCCUGUUGUUUUUUUUCUUCUGUUUUUCAAUGAUUCUAGCAAAUUCUAGAUUUCAACUUUUCUUAAUGGUUGGAUGAGCGCCAAUUCUUUCCUCAACUUCUUUCAGUAGUGACAAUCGGCCAGAUCCAAUCCAAACUCCUCCGAAAUUCUUUCAUUUAUUACAUUUAUGCUACUUGGUAACAAAAAUAUUUGUUGUGUCUGCUCAAUUUUAACCGAACAUUCGUGUAAUUAAGAGUUGUGUAUCAAAUUUGAGAGUAUAUGUAUUGGAUCUGGCCUUAGGUCUCAGUUCCGUAGUAUUUGCUGAUCUUUUGUGUUUAUCUGUAUUAUUAUUAUUCCUCUUCUAGUCUUAUUGUGUUUCAGGUAGAUGCCAUCAGAGUAUUUGAAGGCUGCAUCACAGUUCACUUAGUUUAAAUGCUUUUUAAUAACUAGUAACUAACACAUUCAUAAAGUGUUUGCUUAGCUUGAUUUCCAACAUUGUAAUGUUAAUACCAACCUACACAAAAAAAAAAGUUACAAAUUAUUUAUUUUAGACUUAUACUGGAGAUCAUACUGUAUUCUAAACUUCUCUUGAGAAAUCAGAGAAAACCACUCCAAAAGUACAUUAUCUCCAAAAGUGAAGGAUUUCAGAAUAUCAUUGUGGCCCAGUUGAUUGCAAACCAAAUUGGACUUAUUUCCGAUUAAAUGGCUCACAGAUUAUGCAUUUAUCACCCUCUAAACAACCCUGUCCCAGCAGUCAUGGCGUAGUUGGAUCAGCUACAUCAUCUAAUACAAGCCUUUUCGCAUCAUGAGUGAAACCUCUUCUCUUGGGAGUGUCGCUGUAGCUACAUGAUCCCUCACUGAACAUGUAGUAACCUCUGGUAAAGAAAGUGUCAGAAAGUGUUCGGGAGAAAAGUAGCGCCAAAGUAGAAGGAAAAAGACCGGCUGACAGUGACAAGAAAAAAUCAGUGGCCAAGAAAGUCAAGAGUCUUCCCUAGUUCGUAAGGAAAAGAACCAAAAAGUACAGUGCAUUUAUUCCAUUUUCACAAAACAAAAGCAUGUAGACAUUGCCUAAGAAAUAUUCAAGAGUUUAUUGAGGGGGAACAUCUACCUCUUUCUCUUUUUUUCCUGCUUGUGCUCAUGUCUAUGAUAGUAACCUAUCGUGAUGUUUAUUGCAUUCACUUUAAACCUCAUAUAUAAUUUCUUGGCUAUAAAAAUGCUUAAUAUGCUACACGGUGUGUUGAUUUGCAUGUUGUGUUGUUGUAGACAAAAUUAACCUUAUAAUUGAAACUAACCAUCUUAAAUGGAUAGUUUACCUAAAAAUUAAGAUUGUCAUCAUUCACUGACCCUUAAGUUGUUCCAAACUUGUAUGAAUGACUUUCCUCUGCUGAACACAAAUGGAGAUAUUUUGAAGAAUGUUGGAAACCAAGCAGCUAAUGGUAACUAUAAAAAAAAAAAAUACUAUGGAAGUCGAUGGCUACUGGCAACAGUUUGGUUACCAGCAUUCUGAAAAAUAUAUUUGUUUGUGUUCAGCAGAAGAAAGUAAGUCAUACAGGUUUGGGACAAGUGGAAGUGGAGUAUGUAAUGAGAUAAUUGUCAUUUUUUUUGGGUGAACCGUGCUUUUAAUGUUUUGUGUGGACCAGUAACUCCCCCUGUAGUUCUGCAUUUCUCUUAAAGACAGCUCUAUAAGUAAUAAAAGCUAGUAAUUGCUUAUUUUUCCUCAGGAUGAGACACAGGAAGUUGAGACAGCUUUGAUUGAUGUGUCCAACAUGGC